GGACCCAUCUCCACAAACCUGGCUUGAGAGCUCUUAAAAGACUCUAACCUCUAAUUCCACCCUCUCUCAAUUUUUUUCACUCUCGCCGUCGCCUCGCCUCGCCGUCACAUACACCGACAGCCGACACCCGAUACCGGACGUCGGACGCUCGACGGUUGCAGCUUCCGACGGUGAUUCCUGCCUGGCUAUAAUAUAACCCCUACCUUCUUCAAGUGUUCCACCUAAUAAGGAAAAUAAUAUUUAGAGAAAGAGAUGGAGAAGACAAGCAAAGAGCUGCUGCAAUUUGAGCACAAGGACCCUUCUUCCUUCAAAGAAUCAGCGUUGCUUGUUUGUGGGAAGAGCAAGAAAUCAGCAGAAGAGGGACCGAAUUCUGAAGGGCAGCGGCAGCCCCUUACUGCACCACUCCCUAAAAGCCAAGUGCUUGGUAAGGUGAGGGAUUUCUUAGGAGUAAUAUCUGAAGCUAACAAAACUCUCCAACUCAAUGCGAAGGACAAACCUGAGGAAUUUAAUAUUGAAGUUCUGCAUGGUAAUGAAUCAGAGUACAUUGAAAUGGAUUUGAUGCUGGGCGUUGCUGAUCUUCAAACUCCCGAGGCCAUGGAAGCUGCAGAGGCUGCAAUCGCCGGAAACCAGUCAGUUGUUGAUUUACAUAUCAAUGAUAGUUCCUCAGAAUCAGAUAGUAGCAGUGAUAGCGAUGAUGAAGAUGACAGCGAUGUAGAUGAAAAUGGAAAGGCUGGUGGACAAUCAGAAAUGCAGAUUGAUGGUUCUUUAAAACAGCAGUCAGAAAGCCGUACAAAGAGAAAACGGUCAAAGAUUGUUGAGCUCCCAUAAAACGAUUCCCUUUUUCCUAUCAAGAAAUGAGUAUUACGCUACACAUUCUGUUGGUGCAGAUUGUUUUGAAUGGAUACAGCAAUCGUGAUCUAUGUGUAGUCUAAAUUUUGCUGAGGUUUUGCUGCUUGAUCCUUAUACAUAGGUAAGAAUAAGGGACCCUAACUGAACCAGCACCUAGCACAGGUGAACCAGCCCAGCUCCCGCUUGAGCCACUCCCAAGCAUUUCGCAGUUGAUGGGGUUCGAACUUGUGACCUCCAAGUCACAAGGUGAGUUCCCCACCAACUCCACCAACUUAUGUUGGUUUAUUCAGUUUCGUUUGAUGUAAACAAUAAAAAUAGCAACACCCUAACACUACAAGUUGUGUAAAAUAUAAUUUGUCAGACAGAAACAACAAAACCUGAAUAUGAGGCACAGGUUCAGGAGAAUGGAGAUCUUUUAAGCCAGGCUGCUAAAACAAUUUAUAAUUAAUUAAUUAUCAACCCUAAGUCGCUAAA